AUUGAACGCUGGCGGCAUGCCUUACACAUGCAAGUCGAACGGCAUCGCGGGAAAGCUUGCUUUCCUGGCGGCGAGUGGCGAACGGGCGAGUAACACAUCGGAACGUACCGGCUAGUGGGGGAUAACCCGUCGAAAGACGGGCUAAUACCGCAUACGCUCUUCGGAGGAAAGCAGGGGACCUUUGGGCCUUGCGCUAGCCGAGCGGCCGAUGUCCGAUUAGCUAGUUGGUGGGGUAAAGGCCUACCAAGGCGACGAUCGGUAGCGGGUCUGAGAGGACGAUCCGCCACACUGGGACUGAGACACGGCCCAGACUCCUACGGGAGGCAGCAGUGGGGAAUCUUGGACAAUGGGGGCAACCCUGAUCCAGCAAUGCCGCGUGGGUGAAGAAGGCCUUCGGGUUGUAAAGCCCUUUCGGCAGGGAAGAAAUCGGCGGGGCGAAUAACCCUGCUGGAUGACGGUACCUGCAGAAGAAGCACCGGCUAACUACGUG
rnacentral:rRNA from 1 species